AUUGAACGCUGGCGGCAGGCCUAACACAUGCAAGUCGAGCGAGCGGCGGACGGGUGAGUAAUGUCUGGGAAACUGCCUGAUGGAGGGGGAUAACUACUGGAAACGGUAGCUAAUACCGCAUACCAUCAGAUGUGCCCAGAUGGGCUUAGCUAGUAGGUGGGGUAAUGGCGCACCGAGGCGACGAUCCCUAGCUGGUCUGAGAGGAUGACCAGCCAAGCUGGGACUGAGCCGCGGUCCAGACUCCUACGGGAUGCAGCAGUGGGGAAGAUUGCACAAUGGGCGCAAGCCUGAUGCAUCCAUGCCGCGUGUGUGAAUGAGGCAUGCGUGUUUUAAAGCACUUGCAGCGGGGAGGCGUUACCCGCAGAAGAAGCACCGGCUAACUCCGUGCCAGCCGCCGCGGUAAUUC
rnacentral:rRNA from 1 species